rnacentral:rRNA from 1 species
UACGGGGGGGGCAAGCGUUGUUCGGAAUUACUGGGCGUAAAGGGCUCGUAGGCGGCCAACUAAGUCAGACGUGAAAUCCCUCGGCUUAACCGGGGAACUGCGUCUGAUACUGGAUGGCUUGAGUUUGGGAGAGGGAUGCGGAAUUCCAGGUGUAGCGGUGAAAUGCGUAGAUAUCUGGAGGAACACCGGUGGCGAAGGCGGCAUCCUGGACCAACACUGACGCUGAGGAGCGAAAGCGUGGGGAGCGAUCCGG